GGAUGUGAAGGGGAUCUGGCUAUGACAUCUGUAUCCCCACUGAUCGCCAGGGUUGAUUCGGCUGAUACAGCUGGCUAGGUGGGUGCUCCCUUCCUCCCUCCCUGCUCCAUGUGCGCCCCUCCCAAAGCUGCACGUUUGUGCUCCUUGGAAGGGGACGACUUUCCCGAUAGAGAAGAGGACCAUUCUUCCGUCAAGGGUAUACGAGCAGCUAUGCUCCCUUGCUAGAACCUCCAAAUAAGCUCUCAAGGGUCAUUUGUAGGAGAUCACAGGGUGGUUAAGACUCCAGACACAUCCAAAUGGGGGGAGGGGGUGCAAGUUAAAAUUAGAUAUCAUUUUUU
ensembl:misc_RNA 7SK 7SK RNA